rnacentral:rRNA from 1 species
GAUGAACGCUAGCGGCAGGCUUAACACAUGCAAGUCGAGGGGCAGCACGGGUAGCAAUAUCUGGUGGCGACCGGCAAACGGGUGCGGAACACGUACGCAAUUUACCUUUGUCUGGGGGAUAGCCCGAAGAAAUUCGGAUUAACACCCCAUAAUAUAUUUGGAUGGCAUCAUUUGAAUAUUAAAACUCCGGUGGACAGAGAUGAGCGUACGUCCCAUUAGCUAGUUGGCAGGGUAACGGCCUACCAAGGCGACGAUGGGUAGCUGGUGUGAGAGCACGACCAGCCACACGGGCACUGAGACACGGGCCCGACUCCUACGGGAGGCAGCAGUGAGGAAUAUUGGUCAAUGGGCGCAAGCCUGAACCAGCCAUGCCGCGUGAAGGAUGAAGGCCUUCUGGGUUGUAAACUUCUUUUAUUGGGGAAGAAAAUUACGGUUUCUACUGUAACCGACGGUACCCAAGGAAUAAGCACCGGCUAACUCCGUGCCAGCAGCCGCCGUUAACAC